AGGGUGGACGGUUCACACUGGGACUGAGACACGGCCCAGACUCCUACGGGAGGCAGCAGUGGGGAAUAUUGCACAAUGGGCGCAAGCCUGAUGCAGCGACGCCGCGUGAGGGAUGGAGGCCUUCGGGUUGUAAACCUCUUUCGCCAGUGAAGCAGGCCUGUCCCUUGUGGGUGGGUUGACGGUAGCUGGAUAAGAAGCGCCGGCUAACUACGUGCCAGCAGCCGCGGUAAUACGUAGGGCGCGAGCGUUGUCCGGAAUUAUUGGGCGUAAAGAGCUCGUAGGCGGCUGGUCGCGUCUGUCGUGAAAUCCUCUGGCUUAACUGGGGGCUUGCGGUGGGUACGGGCCGGCUUGAGUGCGGUAGGGGAGACUGGAACUCCUGGUGUAGCGGUGGAAUGCGCAGAUAUCAGGAAGAACACCGGUGGCGAAGGCGGGUCUCUGGGCCGUUACUGACGCUGAGGAGCGAAAGCGUGGGGAGCGAACAGGAUUAGAUACCCUGGUAGUCCACGCCGUAAACGUUGGGCACUAAGUGUGGGGGGCCCUUUUCCGGGUUUUUCGCGCCGUAGCUAACGCAAUAAGUGCCCCGCCUGGGGAGUACGGCCGCAAGGCUAAAACUCAAAGGAAUUGACGGGGGCCCGCACAAGCGGCGGAGCAUGCGGAUUAAUUCGAUGCAACGCGAAGAACCUUACCAAGGCUUGACAUGUGCCGGUCGGCUCCGGAGACGGGGUUUCCUCCUUGUGGGGCCGGUUCACAGGUGGUGCAUGGUUGUCGUCAGCUCGUGUCGUGAGAUGUUGGGUUAAGUCCCGCAACGAGCGCAACCCUUGUCCCGUGUUGCCAGCACGUUGUGGUGGGGACUCGCGGGAGACUGCCGGGGUCAACUCGGAGGAAGGUGGGGAUGACGUCAAAUCAUCAUGCCCCUUAUGUCUUGGGCUUCACGCAUGCUACAAUGGCCGGUACAGAGGGCUGCGAUACCGUGAGGUGGAGCGAAUCCCUUAAAGCCGGUCUCAGUUCGGAUCGGUGUCUGCAACUCGACACCGUGAAGUUGGAGUCGCUAGUAAUCGCAGAUCAGCAACGCUGCGGUGAAUACGUUCUCGGGCCUUGCACUCACCGCCCGUCA
rnacentral:rRNA from 1 species